UACGAAGGGGGCUAGCGUUGUUCGGAAUUACUGGGCGUAAAGCGUGCGCAGGCGGCUUCCCAAGUCAGUGGUGAAAGCCCGGAGCUCAACUCCGGAAAUGCCAUUGAAACUGUGAAGCUCGAGAACGAGAGAGGUGAGUGGAAUUCCCAGUGUAGAGGUGAAGUUCGUAGAUAUUGGGAAGAACACCAGUGGCGAAGGCGGCUCACUGGCUCGUAACUGACGCUCAUGCACGACAGCGUGGGGAUCAAACAGG
rnacentral:rRNA from 1 species